CCCACUGAAUGACACCAAUUUUUGAUGAAAACACCACCGUCACCUCGUGUCCGUUAGUCAACGUUAUGCCGACAUGUCGUCAUAACACGGCUUUCCUCAACACGAAUUUGCUUGGCAUUCACGGCCCUGUAGCAUCACAUCUUUAAUUUCUCUUUCAAUUGCUCUGGUGGUGUAUAUUGUAGGUAAACAUCCCGAUCUUUACAUGGAUGAAAUUUUCCACAUUCCACAAGUGCUGAAAUACUGUGUACAUCGUUUCGACGAAGGAAUCCAAUUCCGAUGAACGAUGAUUACGACAUUGCCUCAUGCCUGCCUGGCUUGUACUGAAAUCAUGAAUGUUAGCACUCUAUACCAAGCUCUAUAUUCUUUAUACUUUGGCUCGUCGAAAUUCUGGCCAUGUACUUACAUCGUGAAGUAAAGACGAUGUGAAUGCUCUUGUUCUUGAGAAUGUGAAAAUGAAAUGAAUUCAAUUUGGUCAAGGUUAGAUAACAAAAUGGAAAUCAACAUUUGGGCUGAUUCGUUUAUCUUUUCCGUUUGUGGUCUUCCAUACUGCUCCAUAAGUUAUGUCGUAGAUUCCUCUUCGCCAAGAUCAUCUGAUCAUGUGAGAGCAUUUUGAAACAUACUGUAUCAUAGCAAAGCUCUCUGAUCUAUUUAUAACGCUUCGUAUAGGAUUUCAUUUGUCGACUUGACAUUAUAUUGGGCUCAAUAGUGGGAGAACAUUGGAGUAAGUUGUUGUCUGAAAUUAUAUCCAUUCUAUUGCCUCA